UACGGAGGGUGCGAGCGUUGUCCGGAAUCACUGGGCGUAAAGGGCGCGUAGGUGACCUGUGGAAGUCUGCGGUGAAAGCCCGGCGCUCAACGCCGGGUCGGCCGUGGAUACUCUCGGGCUUGAGCUUACUAGAGGCAGAUGGAAUUCCGAGUGUAGAGGUGAAAUUCGUAGAUAUUCGGAAGAACACCAGUGGCGAAGGCGACACACUGGCCCGUUACUGACGCUGAGGCGCGAAAGCGUGGGGAGCAAACAGG
rnacentral:rRNA from 1 species